rnacentral:rRNA from 1 species
GACGAACGCUGGCGGCGUGCUUAACACAUGCAAGUCGAACGGAAAGGCCCUGCUCUUGUGGGGUGCUCGAGUGGCGAACGGGUGAGUAACACGUGAGUAACCUGCCCUUGACUUUGGGAUAACUUCAGGAAACUGGGGCUAAUAUCGGAUAGGAGCUCCUGCUGCAUGGUGGGGGUUGGAAAGUUUCGGCGGUUGGGGAUGGACUCGCGGCUUAUCAGCUUGUUGGUGGGGUAGUGGCUUACCAAGGCUUUGACGGGUAGCCGGCCUGAGAGGGUUACCGGCGACAUUGGGACUGAGAUACGGCCCAGACUCCUACGGGAGGCAGCAGUGGGGAAUAUUACAGAAUGGGCGGAAGCCUGAUGCAGCAACGCCGCGUGCGGGAUGACGGCCUUCGGGUUGUGAACCGCUUUCGCCGGUGACGAAGCGUGAGUGACGGUAAUGAGUAAAGAAGCACCGGCUAACUACGUG